AACUGGGACACCCUACUCCAAAAAUUUUUGUGGCGUAUUGUCAUAGAAGGGAUUCUGCAUUUUUCAUGGGGAUCUCUUUCAUUUCACUGUCUUCUAACGUAUCUUUUUCAAAAGUCCAAGCCUUGUCUAAAGUUUGUAACGCGGAAUAAGAGAGAUAUUAAACUAUCGCUACCUCUUUUCAUAGAGUGUACUGCAUAGAAAAUGUUAAAGCAAAUAUCAUGAUAAUACAAAGAGUGUCGGCCUUUCAACUCGAAAACUAGGUAAUCGUAUAGAAACAGUCUGUCCAGGCUAUAGAAGUAAAAGAAAAGAUCCUCUGGCCAGUCAGG